rnacentral:pre_miRNA from 1 species
GAGCAUUGGAUGAGUGAGAGGCGUCGGAUUGAUUUUAUUCAAUCCGAGCCUCACAUUCAUCAUGUGCUCGU